AGUAGAAGCCAGGGGCAAUGGGGCAGUUUUCUUACCCUGUAGUUGACCUUCUGUAACACCUGCUGGGGGUCGCUUUCGAGAAUCACCCUGACAACAACAGGAGGCGGCCAAUCAAAUUCAAGAACCGUCAAAGACCGGGAAAACUCCUUCCAUGUUGUCCAGUAAACAUUUCCGUUCCACAUUUUUCCUGGAGAGAAAAGUCACGAUAAGUCACACAGAGACGGAGGGGACGUUUUCAAACAGGAGUUAAUGCGUGACACAAGUUCAAGGGGAAACCUGGAACUAGUACUGAGUUUUACAUCAGCUGUCAGUGAGUAUUUGUGUGGCUGAACAUAAGGACUGAGGCUCCACUGCGUCCGUGACAUGUGGCCAAUAAAAAGCCUCCGUCUGCUCACCUGAGGAUGUGGCUGAGGGACUCGAACAGGCAGUUCAGCACCGACAUCAGCAUCAACUGAGGAAAGAAAAGAGUGUUACUGUAGUUCCUCACAAUGACCACUGGGGGGACAAUCA